GUAGGGAAGAAGCGAAAGUGACGGUACCUGCAGAAGAAGCGCCGGCUAACUACGUGCCAGCAGCCGCGGUAAUACGUAGGGCGCAAGCGUUAUCCGGAAUUAUUGGGCGUAAAGAGCUCGUAGGCGGUUUGUCGCGUCUGCUGUGAAAGACCGGGGCUCAACUCCGGUUCUGCAGUGGGUACGGGCAGACUAGAGUGCAGUAGGGGAGACUGGAAUUCCUGGUGUAGCGGUGAAAUGCGCAGAUAUCAGGAGGAACACCGAUGGCGAAGGCAGGUCUCUGGGCUGUAACUGACGCUGAGGAGCGAAAGCAUGGGGAGCGAACAGGAUUAGAUACCCUGGUAGUCCAUGCCGUAAACGUUGGGC
rnacentral:rRNA from 1 species